rnacentral:rRNA from 1 species
UGCGUAGGCGGGUCUUUAAGUCAGGGGUGAAAUCCUGGAGCUCAACUCCAGAACUGCCUUUGAUACUGAGGAUCUUGAGUACGGGAGAGGUGAGUGGAACUGCGAGUGUAGAGGUGAAAUUCGUAGAUAUUCGCAAGAACACCAGUGGUGAAGGCGGCUCACUGGCCCGUAACUGACGCUGAGGCACGAAAGCGUGGGGAGCAAACA